rnacentral:rRNA from 1 species
UACGUAGGGAGCAAGCGUUGUUCGGAUUUACUGGGCGUAAAGGGCGCGUAGGCGGCAAUUCAAGUCAUCUGUGAAAUCUCCGGGCUUAACUCGGAACGGUCAGAUGAUACUGUUUUGCUAGAGUGCAGAAGGGGCAAUCGGAAUUCUUGGUGUAGCGGUGAAAUGCGUAGAUAUCAAGAGGAACACCUGAGGUGAAGACGGGUUGCUGGGCUGACACUGACGCUGAGGCGCGAAAGCCAGGGGAGCAAACAGG